AGAAUUGAAGAAAUGGUUAAAUCAAGAAGUCAAUCAUACUUCGUUCCAAAACAAGUCUUAGAGUUAAGAUUGUGAAAUUGAGUGAUAAGUAUUAAGAAGGUUUAUAACAUUCAUCAAAUUUGGAAAGUUGUGAUGUCUUGGAUAAGACAAAGACCAACUAGGACCAAUUUAUGAAGUGUUUGAUAAAAACUACACUAACUCUUGAAUAUUUGUUUGUCAAGAAAUGUUUAUUGACAAGAGAAUCUUAUAUGACAAGGAGUAAGUGGGAGUCUUAAUGGUCUUGAAAGGUUUCAAGAACAAAUCAAAUUAGCCUUAUCGAUCAUCACUAGCACACGAGUUGAGGUUUACAACCUAUCGUGUUGACAUUAUUUUGUUUCUGUGCCAAUCCAAUCGAGUUAAUUAUGCAUGUGAGUCCUAUGAGUUCUCAUUUGAAUGCAUAAAAGGCAAGGACCUUGAUCAAUGGAAAGUACAUUGAUAAGAAAAGGUGAGCUGCUUAACUACUUGGAAGACAUGGUGGGCAGCUGUGCUACCAUAAGGCAAGAAAUCAAGAUUAAGGAAGUUCGGUCCAUAUGAGUUUGAAUUUGUCGUAAACUUUGGUUUUGACAAAUUCACAUGGAUAGGAACACAUACGCCGUUUAAAUCUAAGUGUCAUAAGAAUUCCUCCUUCAUGAAAAUGAUUGUGAGGAAAUGCUUUCACUAAGAAAGAUUUUAAGAAGAUAGUGAUUGUAAAAUUGCAUUCUCGAAUUCGAUUAUGGUUACGGUAUCGCUUUCCAUAAUUUGAGUUGUGAGGUUUGGCAAUUAGUCUUAAUUGUUUAGACGCACAUAUAAACUAAGGCAAAGGUGUAUAAGUUCAAGAAACCUUGAUAAAAGAUUAUCAAAGCACUAAGUAUUAGUCACAUGAAAUUAAGAAAUUCAAUAAGUAUUGUUUGUCUGAAAGUUAAGAUGUUUCUAAAGACAUGUCAAAGCUAGUGGGAGUAUAAGUGUUAUGUUUAUAAUAAUCAUCAUGAUAGUGGGAGCAUAAAAGUUAUGAUUGUAUGAUUAUUAUGGAAAGUAUUGCAAAGUUAGCAAUAUUAAUUAUAGAAAACAAGAGUCAUACUUUGCAAAGUUGUAAGAGUUGAAAGGUUGUUUUGCUAUAAUUAAGGGAGAGAAUAUUAUGCUUCAAUCAAAAUCUAAAGGCUUAGGUUGUGGAAUGUUAAUAACUUAGUCAAAGAAACAUAGUGUGUUCUUAAAAUUUUGAUUAUGAUUACAACAUUCCUCUUCACAAUUCGAAUUUUGAGAACAUAGCAAAUAAAACAUUAAGGUAGAAGAUUAAUGAAGUAUCAAAUCUUUAUGUAAGACAUUUUGCAUCAUGUCCCAUACGCUUUGGGUAUUGGAUCGAUUGAAAAUGCUAUAAUAUUUGACCAUUCUAAAAUUUUCCAAAUGUCUAGCGCAUUCAGAGGGAAAAAGGACAAGAAUUGGUUUUGACUAAAAUAAUUUAACAACUAUCAAAGGACAAUCCAAAGUUCGCUGAGGAUUGGUCGCUUGUGAGUAGUUAGAAGUAUAGUAUUGGAAGAUAUAGAAAUGUUUCCAUAUUAGAUGGACCAUAUCGACAUUUUUAUGAAUAGAUAAGAUUCUAUUAAGAAUUAGUUGUCAUAUGGAAAAUAUGGAAGUGUGUCCAUAUUGGGAAUUUAAUAUUGAAAAUCUAUGUCUAGAUUAGCAGCUUUUAUGCAAAAGGAUGUCAAAGGAAUGUACUUUGAGUGAGAGACAUCAUAUAUAAGGAAUUGUCUUGUAACAAUAUCCGAUAGAGGACUUUAUAAUUUCAUUGGCAAUAGUCUUUUUGACUUUGGUGCAGUGACAUUACGAAAGGAUCGUUGCAUAGAAUGUUAGAAUCUAGCAUAUUCUAUAAGUAGCAAGAAUUUGAUAUUCUUUCGCUUAUGAAAAAGGAUUUGGAGUUGUGAAAUGAGAAUGAUUGGAAAUGUGCUCAAUUUGGUCUAUUUCACAAAGUAAGAACCAUAGGUAAACAUUGUGUGCAUGCUAAGAGCAUGGGACAAGUGUAAUAAUUCAAGUAAGAAGUUGAUUACCCGAAACGACAAAUAAUGAGUAAUCGAUAUGGUGAUAAAUAAAAGGUGUUUUAUUUAUACUCAAAGGUUUGAGGCCAUAUGGGAUUAGUAUUAUUCUUGUGUUUCACAUUUGCAUGUUUUGACUUCCAGAAUAAUUGAAUUUAUUAAGAAUAAUCGAAUUAUUCGAACGGGCCACAGUCGUUCAUAUGUUGGAAGUAGAUAUGAAUGAAGACUGUCGUGAAUUGGUGUGUGGAUUGUCUAAAGAGUAUUAGACAUAAGCAAAUGUUUGCUGCAACGUUCAUGAGUGCUUAUGAAUAUGAUUUGAGCAUUGGAUUAAACCCACGCUCACUUGGAUCACUCCAUGAAUUGUAUCACGAGUGAUUGGUGAGACGAUAACAUCUUAUAUUCUUGAAACCGAGAUGUGUGAGUUGUAUCUUGCAAAUCGGUUGCACAUUGAUAAUAUGUAAACGCACUAGUAACUUGGUGUUAUAAAACAUAUUGUUGUGUGUGAUUCGGUGAGUGAGUGCAAGCAAGCAUUGUAUCAAAGUUUAUCCGUUCCUUUUAUCCAAAGUAGGAUAAAAGCGAUAUCUUUGGGCCCCUCGAUGAUUUAGUGAUGACAAACGUAAAUGCUCGGCCGGGCUAGGGCUAAUUUGAUUUGUUCAAUUAGUCAGUCGUCAUAAAUCGGGAAUCGAGAUAUAGUACAAAGAGAAUGAUUUGAAAUCAUAUCUCAUAUGAUAUCUAGAAUGGAGGAAUAUAUGAUCCCUUAUCUAAAGGACACGCGUAUCUGAUAGGAUCAGAGUUGACAGCGGCUUUGGAAAGCUACGAUUGCAGAUCAGGAUCUGAAGUCAUACGCAGAAUAGUUAUUAGACUUAUCCAAGUGGGAGACUGUUGGAUUAGUGUCUAAGUCCAUAACUAUUUUGGUAUGUACUUGACCCGAUGGUGCAUGGUCCUUUUGGGUUGCCUUCACCAAAGCAACUUGAUAGGAUGAAUUAUGGAGAGAAAGGAUUAAAUAUGAUUUAUUAAUAUAUUAUGGGAAUAAUAUAUUAAAGAAGAAAUCAUAUUGUUUAAUUAAUAUUAGUCAAUAAUUAAUUGGUAAUUAGUUUUGUGACUAAAAGAGAUUAAUUAAACUUAAGGGACUGGAAUUGUAAUUAUAAGAUAAUUGCAAUUGGGCCAUGGAUUGCCUUGUAUUAAGGAGUCAACGAAUUCUAUGGGGAAGCCCAUAUGGAAAUCGUCAAAGGCCUUAAGGAAAGGGGUCCAUGGGUUGCUUAGGGCUUAACCAUCCAAUUUAGGGUUUCCUUGUUAGAUAACCCUAAUAGCCUCCUAUAUAUAUAGAUCCCUUAUGACCCAAAAACGUGGCUAAGCAUUCUUCUAGGGUUUCACACAUUUUGGGGCAGCCUCCAUCCUCUCUCUUCUUCAUCCUCUUGCUUAUGGUGUUUAUGAACCAUUAGAGGAGUGACAUUUGUGACUCUAAGCUUUCUAAAGUCAAUACAAGGAGGAAUUGGAUUGUUAUUGCUACAUAACAAUCAAGGUAUGAUCUUAAACCUAUUCUCAUGUUAAUAUGAUUACUUGAAUGCUUGAAUUAGGGUUUAUAGUCUUGGAUAACUUGCAUGUACAAUAGAGAAACCUAUAUCCAAGCAUUAGGGUUUGUAUGAGCACAUAGGAUGUUCUUAGGACCAAAACCCAUCACUAAACUCAUAAUAUGAACACCAACUUAAGCUGUUGUAAAACAAGGCAUUGGUUUGACAUCGGUGAACCAACAUUAGAUAAUUGAUCUGAUAGCAUCUUCAAGGCUUGGCAGUAGGCAGAGCAAUAUGGAAAAUUGGCAAGCUUUGUUGUAACCAAUUUGUGUUCAAGGUAGAGAGCAUGUUCAUUUUGAUUGUCUUGAAAAAUAUUUUCAAGAGCUUUCCAUGCGUGGGCCACCAAGGAAUUUGGUUUGAGAAUGGUGUGAAGAAGAUAGUUUGAAAUAGUGCUAUAGAUUCACUAUAAAACUAUGGUGCCAAGAUGUUUCCACAGUUCUUUAUCGAUGGGUUUAGGAGCCUCUUUCCCGUCGGCUGCAGCAGGAGUAGGGGAGUUGGUCAUUGGUUGAAUGUGAUCGAGAACUUGGAAGGCACGACAAUGUAUUUUAAAUAAUUUGACCGGGUGCCACUCUCCAUCUCCAGGGGGGCGGUAAGGGGGAUGAAGUUUAUGAUGUUAGUGAUCAUCAUAGUUGGAUGAAGUUUUUCUGCCAUAGGAGAAGAUAAGAGAAGGAGAGAAUCAUUGGUUAAGAAGAGAGGGGAGGGAAAAAUAACGGCAACGACAUUAGGUCAGGUAUGUCAGGUAUGUCGCUCUGAUACCAAAAAAGAAGCUUGCGACUUCUGUGGCCCCUAUUGAAACAGAUCCAAACAUAUAUAAGGUGGGUAGCCGUAGACUAUUUUGGACAUAUUUAUAAAAGCUACCUUUACAAAUACAAAGAUAAUGUUGGCUACCCUAUAAAUGAUAAUAAUAAUAUAACCGACUAAUAAUUACAAUGCACUCCAUAAUUUCCACUAACAUUUCAUCCUUAAUUUCCCAAUUUAUUAUCAAAUUAUUAUUCGUCUACCCCCAAGACCAAAAAUACUACGACCAUAUGUGGCACUCAUCAAGUCUAAGACGAGAGGGAACUGCAGGGUGACAAAAGAAGUGAUUGGUAGGCAUGUCAAGACAGCUAUUGGAAUAAGAAUCCUCCAGUUUCUUUGGCCGAACACAAGGUACAAUGUUGCACCAAAAGCUACUAUCAUGGCUGUUGUUGAGACGAACAAGGUGGCCAAACCAAUUAUCAACUUUGUAGGCAACUUGAAGAGAAAGUCUUGCUCAGCAAAACAUGCGGUAAGAAUCGACAAAAACAUUAACAAUGACGUAACAGCUGCAAAUAAUGAUAUGGCAUCUGAUAUUGCAAAUAUUAUGAAGGCGGUGUUGUUGGUAAAAGUUGGUAUCCCGGUGUCUUGAUUGCUUCCUCCUGGCACUGUAAUUGCUGCUGCAAACACAAUGGUGAUGAUUAAUGCAGCUGUAAUCGUGUAGGACUCUGCAGUGGACUUCAUCCAUUUUUCUCCCUCAAUCACCAACUCCAUGUGUUCUCUAGUAAAUACCAUUUGUGGUGUUUCGUUUAAAGAGUUCUUUUGUUUGAUGCUUAGAGGACAAAUGAAUUUUUCCACUUCCUACAAGAUUACAUUAUGUUAAUUGUUACACAUGCUUGAUAAAUACUUAUGGUCUUUAGAUUCAUACCUUAAACCAUUGUAGUUCGUGUUGUAUCUGUAAAGCUGCCCCCGAUAUAAGAUUUAAUUUGUUGGAUGGAGCCAAUCUUGCAGCUAGAUGCAACAGGUUAUUCCGUGAAGAGUCUUCGAGUGUCCGGUAUAUAUUCUUAUGUUCGCUCAUCUGAUAAAGUAGGUUGUAAACCUUUUCUGAACGAUUUAUUGCAGCAUACAGAAUAAAGUUGUGCCCAUCUUCAUUAGCACACCAAAUUGCAUUUGGGAACCAAGUCACAAUUUCCUCUACAACCUCAUAUGCAUUUAGUCUUGUGGCUUCAAGAAUAGGAGUUGUAUAAUAGUUAUGGUAACAGCUGGAGUGAUUUGUUCGCCUUAUCAACUCACAUACUUCCUCCAACAGUCUCAUAGCAUCAUCAUGAGUUCGAACUCUCUCUUUAAUGAAUGGAGGCACUGCAACAUAGACCCCAAUGAGCAUCUCAAAUAAUGAAAUAGACCUUUUUUUUUCUCUCUUUGCUUUUAGUAAUACAAUGACAGUUGUUGUUGAUCAUCUUACCGAACAUGUUAAGAACCUUCAUGAAAAGCCAAAUGAUGAAGCCAGUCACUGCAUUAUGGGAUGAAAUGUUAAUUUAUAAUAGAAUGUGCCACCAACAACUUUAAAGUUUAAGAAAAGAAAAACUCCUGACCUACCGCAAAUGAAUGGGAGGAUUAUCAAAAUCAAAACCCAUGGAGGAAAACCGUCUGCUCUCUCAAGUAAUUCUUCAGUCCCUUCAAUAUAAAAAGUGGUGUGCAGGAAGUUUGGUAGAGAAGCGUUAUAAAUGAUUUGACAAUGUAAACAAACAGACAGAUCCAUUAAGAUAGAAAAACAACGAACCUGUAUAUCUUUCAAAAUCUUUGACUUUGCUUGGGAAAUUUUCAGCUAUAGACAUCAGCACAGCAUCACUAUGCAAUGUUUUGUAAUGCUUCAACAGUUUUCUUGCAAAGUCUACAUAUAUUACAAAGUCAGCCGUAUCAAUUAACUGGGCAGAUUUUUUACUACCGGAAUUUGAGUCCAGUCCACACUUACGGAAAUCUUUGGAGGAGAUAACAGUAACUAGAAGGCCAUCGCCAGUUGUGCCAGAAAACAGAGCAUCCUUCUGAGUAUCAUCAGUAUUAUUGAUGUGUUGCAGCAGAUGUCGGGCUGUAUCUGUGUGCAUAUUAGAAAGAGCCAAGGCUAGUGGUGUCAGAUCCUUUUUGUCUUUGGCCAACAACAACUCUGGGUUUCUUGCCACCAAUAUGCCAACAGCUUCUGUGUUGCCAAUAAUAGCAGCAACAUGAAGUGGUGUGCUUCCAUCUGAAUUUCUUAGAUCCAUGAGUUGUGUGUUCUCCGGUAUCUUUUCCAACAAUUUCUCUAGGAAUUCCAGCUUCUUGGAAGUACCGACUGCUACAUGAAGCGCAGUGUUGCCAUUAUUCGUUAUUUUGUCUAUCACUGUAACCCUUCCAUCCCACAAUAUUUCUUCGACCCAGUGCCAAAUUCCAUGUCGAGUAGAAUGGUACAAUCUCUGGAGAGCCAAUACUCUGUCUUGAUCUUGUAGUGUAUCUAUAUUUGCAUAAAUUUUUUGUGAAGGUAAAAAACUACAAGAUACAAAAUAUGUGAUCUGAUAUAGUGGAAUGUAAUCUAAACGUUAGGAAUUUUGAAGGAUGAUGAAAAAAACACCUUGUUUGUAUGUACAAUUUUAUCCGUUUUGUAUACUUUGUAUCUUGUUUAAACAAGUGCUAUAUACAUAUUUUACUGUAUAAGUAGUGGUAUCCUUAUCUAAAUCACCAACCCAAACAAACGAUCGAUUAGCAAACAAGAGCUGGAUUGUACCUUCAACAACAUGCAGUUUUGGAACAACAGCAGGAGCAUACAUAGUCUGUAGUUCAUCCCAAACAUCUUUUGCACUGAAAUCAUCUUGAUGGAGUUUUCCUGUGAGACGAUUCACAAUAUACACAAGUGUUUCUUUAGACAGGGAACCAAGAAUCCAACCCUUCACCAGGGAAUCUGAUCUUCUCCACAGCUUCUGAUGAGUCUGAUGGUCAACCACUUUCUCUUUCCCGGAAACACUACUACUACUACUGGCUUCAUCAGGGCUUACGAGUGUUCCAUCUAUGAAACCUGACACACUAUGACUCUCUAACAGGCAUAACAUCUGUGUUUUCCAAACACCAUACUCAUCCCUAUCACUCAGCUUAAAUGUAACAAAAUGGGGAGCACAAACAUGUGAUGGGUAUGUGUAUGGGUUUUCUUCUCUAACUUCCAAUGUGACAUGUGGAUUAGAGCUAGACCUUGAGUUUGCCAUCUUUGUUUUUUUUUUUUAAGUCCUCUUGCUUCCAUCUGUUAAUUAUUUAAAUAGAAACAUGGAGUGGAUUUGUGGUGCCCACAAAAGCCACUUAAAGGAUUGAAUCCUCCCCAAGUAAUUAUUCCCUCAGAUAGUAAAAUUUCAAGCAAAGAAUAGANUAUAUAUAUAUAUAUAUAUAACUUAUUUAUCAAAAUAUAAUAGAUACAUAACAAAUGAAAAAACAAGUGAAACCUAUCUUUCCGUAUGCUUCCCUUCAAUCACCAGUCUAUUUUCUUAGUCCUUCAUACAUUCAUAGGCAAAGAGAAUCAUAACAAGAACUCUUUAUAUUGUAAGGAACAUAUUUGAUUUUUUGGUUGUAGAAGCCCUUUGGUUAUUGUCGAUUAUUUAAAUGGACAAAAAUUAGACACUAGAUCAACCCAAAAUAAGUAGUUAACUAUAGAUAUAAAAAAUUUAGAUACAUCCUUCGUCUAAUAAAGAAAUUACUAUUCUAAAAUAAUAUUGGCCACUUAUUAGUUAUAUACUAGUUGUAAGAUCCAUGUAUUACAUAAGUUAAUUUUAAAAAUUAAAAAAUUAAAAAAAGAAAAAAUAAAGUUAAAUAUAAAGGUCAAUAUAUAAAAACUUUGAAUUUAUAAGAAAAUAAGAAAAAUAUUGAAUUAUUAUAAUAGAAAUGGGUUUUAUUUUUUUAAAUUUAAACAAAUAAAUAAAAGAAAAUAAUAAACUUUAAAUUUGAGAAUUCUGAAAUUAAACGGAAAUUAAAAGGUAAGUUAAUUAAUGAAACUAAUAUCCAUUUGUUACUACAUUUAUUGUAAUUAUUAUAUUAAAUUAUUAUGUGGAAUUUAAUAAAAUAAAAAACUCUUAAAAUGACAUGUGGAAAAAAAAUAAUUUAAAAUAACCAUAAAAUGACAUUUGAUAAAUUGAAUAAGAGUGUGACAAGUGACAAAAAAAACAUUUAUUUAUUAGAGAGAAUUUCAAAUAUCAUUUAUUACUAUUGGCAUCUUUGUAAGUAACUGCAUGUGCAUUUUUUUUUUUUUUUGGCAUUUCCCUUUCACCAUGUUACACACGAUGCUGGACUUCAACCAAAGCAGAUUGUUUUAAGAUAUAUGAGCAUGAGAAAAAAACACUGAAAGCUCUUACAAAAGCGGCCUCAAAAAUCAGUUUAACCACUGAUUGUUGGAAGUCAUCUCAUCAGAAGAUUAAGUACAUGGUUAUCACAGGGCACUUUAUUGAUCAUAAUUGGAGGUUUGAUUUCUUUUUCUAUUUUUUAAUAAGACAUGUCCAUUUUAUUUAAUAUAUUCAUAUUGGUAUCUGGACUUGUUUUUUGUAGAUUACAAAAACAUGUCUUGAGUUUUGUACAUAUUCCUCCUCCUCGUACCGGACUUGAUAUUGCUGAUGGUAUUUAUAAAUGUUUGAAGCAUUGGGAAAUUGAGGACAAGAUAUUCACGAUAUCUAUAGACAAUGCUGCAUAUAAUGAUAGGGCGUUGAGAAGACUGAAAGAAAUUUUUUCUAGAGUGAGAAAACUCACGUGUGGUCGGAGGUUGUUUCAUGUUAGAUGUUGUGCACAUGUUUUGAAUCUUCUUGUGAAAGAUGGUCUUGCUAUGAUUGAUUCUGUUAUCAGGGAAGUUCGUGAGGGUAUCAAAUAUAUUAACAAUUCUGAGGCGAGACUUCAAACAUUUUCAAAUAUUGCACAUCAACUACAAAUACAAGAUAGAAAGUUGUUGCUUGAUGUUCCAACACGAUGGAAUUCAACCUAUGAUAUGUUGUCGGUUGCAUUAAAAUUUAAAGAUGUUUUCCCAAGGUACACAUUAGAUUUUAAUAAAAUAGUUUUGAAUGUUGUGAUUUUCAGAUUUUCAAAUACUGCACAUCAUUAAGUUUUUGUGAUUUUCAUAGAUUUGUGGAGUACGAGCCACAUUUCCAUCACCUGCCUNCACCUGCCUAUGAUGAGGAGUGGGUGCAUGUGGAGAGUGUAUGUGAAAUCUUGAAGGUUUUCAAGGUGCAUAUUACCUUUAUUUAAGUAUUAUUUUAAAUAUUUUAUAAUUCCUAAUACUAAAGCAACUUAUUUUCAGGUAUGCACAAAUGUCAUUUCUGGAAGUGAUUAUCCAACAUCCAAUCUGUAUUUGAUUGAGGUGUUUAUAGUAAAAGAAACUUUGGAUAAAGGUGCUCUAUCAAAAAAUGAUUUUAUUAAGACUAUGGUGACUAAGAUGAAGGAGAAGUUUGACAAAUAUUGGGGGGAGUGCCAUCUUGUCAUGGCUAUAGCUUCAGUGUUAGAUCCAAGAUUUAAAAUGAAGUUAGUAGAAUUUAGUUUCCCAACCAUAUACUCCAAUGCUGAAAAGAACAUUGAAGAAGUGAAGAAAGCACUUUAUGAAAUGUAUGAAGAGUAUUUGGAAGUACAUGAUGCAUCAGUCCGAGAAGCUGCAACGCCUGCAAAUGGAUGUGGAGGAAAGGAAGUGUCAAAAACAUCACUCGGGUCCGGAUGGGAGGCUUUUGGGGAGUUUAUAAAAAAUACAGAUUUGGAGAGACCAGAAAAGUCAGAAUUAGAUAUGUAUUUGGAAGAAGGUGUUUAUAGGGACCCGAGACAAAAAGGAAUGGAUUCAUUCAAGGCUUUGGAGUGGUGGAAUGUUCAUAAAUUGAAGUACCGUGUUUUAUCAAAGAUGGCUAUGGAUGUGCUUGCGAUCCCGAUUUCUACAAUUGCAUCUGAGGCAACUUUUAGUGCUGGGGGUAGAGUAAUUGAUCCAUACCGAUCUUCAUUGGCACCAGACACUGUUGAAAAGUUGAUUUGUGGCGGAGAUUGGAUUAGACAUCGUUAUGGAAUCAAGAAAAAAUUAAAGGUACAUUUGAUAAACUUAAAACAUGUGAACUAACAAUUGAUUAUUUAAAUUUAUUAAUAUUUGAUCAUGUUGGUGGUUUCUUUUUACAGAAGGAGGAAAUGCCCAUUGAGGUUUUAUUACCUACAGGGACAAGUAAUACUUAAAGGUGUAAGCCAAUUUUAUUUAUUUGUAAUCUUGUUGUUUUAAUUACCUUAUAUUGCACAUCUCAUCAAAUGUUUUAAUAUGCAGAUUUUGCUGGAUUGAAUUUGCUUUAAGGAAGAUUAGCUUUUGAGUUUUGAUAAUAUGUUAUGUUCAAAUUUAAUCAUUUUUAUAGUAUUUUUGUAAUUUGAACUUCCAUGAUAGGAAGACUUUCUUUUGGAUGAUUUAAUUACAUUUUAGGUUUGUAUGUUGGAGUUUAAAACUUAUGUAAUUUGAAGAUUUUAUUUAUGCAUCUUGGUUGGAAUUUAAGUAGUCUACUAGUCUGCACCUAGCUGAAAAUCAAAUAAAUUUGUGUUUAUUAUUUUUUUAUUAUUUUUUUUAUUAUUAUGGAAUUCAUUUUGUAAACGAGCUUUUAACGAGCUCGAGCCAAGCUUAAGCUCGUUUAAGCUCAGUUAGACAAAACGAGUCGAGCCCGAGUGGAGCCCGAACCGAUGUAUUACUUUACGAGCCGAUCUCGAGCUCUGUUUUUGGGGCUCGAAACGAGCCGAACUCGAGCUCGAGCCAUACAUAUUUUAAGCAAGCCGAGCUCGAGCUUGGUCAGGCUUGGGCUCGGCUCGGCUCGUUUGCACCCCUAGUCAAAACACAUACUCAUACACCAAACUAUAAAUAAGACCUGUUUCAGUACUAAUCUAUGGCUAUAGAUUGAUAGGAACCAGUCCUCUUUUAGAGAAAAAAAAAUUGAUAAACCAAACUAUACAUAAGAACAGUUUCAGCAACAAACUUUUAGGAUGAACUGUAGUGCCAAUACAAGUUUUGGGUUAGUGAUUUUAUGUUUUAUAAUAUAUAGGAGAGAAGCAUUAAUUUCUUGUAAUUAGAUUUAUCACUCUCCCUCCAUGGACAGUAGUUCUUAUGUGUUUUAUAUUUAAAAAUAAAUUUUAAUCGUACUUACUACCAUUAAAGUUUAAUCUAUACCAACUUGAUUUUUUUUUUUUUCAUUAUCAGGUGUUCCAAUAGAGCCAUCAUUGCAAACUACUAGCCUGGUGUAGAUACAGCAUCAGUACUUGCCUGCUGGUAUACUAACUCUUAACCUUUUUUAGUUUUUUUGUUUCUGUCGACACAUGUUCUUACAUAUCUUAAAAAGAAAGAUGUGGCUGAUUUGUGGUGCCCACAAAAGCCAAUUAAAGAUUGCAUUCUUCCCAUGGUAUCCCACCAUUGUUCUAAAAGAAGUAAUCCCGUCACAUAAUAAAAGUUUCAAGCAAAGAAUAUUUAAAUUACAAAAGUUACUUGCCAAAUGAUUUUACUACGAAAUGCAGAAAUGUAUUUAUUAAAAUUCAUAGAAGUACCGAGACCCUCCCUUUUAUUAUUACCUAAUAAAAUAAAUGAACAAGUGAAACCAUCUUUGUAUAUGUGUCGUCUCUCAUCUAUAUGUAGGUCAAGCUCUCACCACUUAGAAAUUUCAAAUAAAAUAGAAUAUUGGUGUGUUGACACAGGUCAAAAAGGGUAAAAUUUUAAUUUGGUUAACUGAAAUUUAAUUUAUUGUGGAGUUGUGAGUACAUAUUUCAUCAUAUAUGUGUAGUAAUAUGAUUCAAGAAGGUUAAGACCUGCAUCAACGAAAAAUAUUUAACUCUGUUAUAUUUGUAAAAACCCCUGAAAUAUUUUCUGUCCUGGAAAAAGACACAUAUAAUUUUUCCUAUCUAUUCUAUCCAAAAUGUCCGUUAAGUAGCCCCAACAGCUACUUUUGUUAAUUUUAAACCAACUUUAAAGCAAUAAUUAAGAAAUAGCAAUGUACCCUUAAAACAAUAAGCAAGAAAUAGGAACACAGUUUUAAACAUCCAAGUUGCCAGCUUUUCUUGCUUAGUGUUUAAAAGUUGGUUUAAAAUUUUUGUUCAAAAUGUACCAGUUGGUAAACAAGAACUUCAUUUCCAUCACACUCGGGACUCCUAUGCAUUUAAAAAUGAAAAAAUUAAUCAGGAACUUUUAGUUAGGACUUAGGAAACAGGAUCAUGUAGUGCAAUCACUCUUAUAGUUGAUUACUUGAUUUAAAAAUAUAUAUUCAUCAAUCAUUUAACCAUCCAGUUAACAAUAAAUACUUUAAAAUAUAAAAAAAAUGCAUCUGUAAUACAUUAGUUAACGAUAAAUAACUCCAAAGGGGUAUUCCACGUAGUUAGUCCAUGAAAAAUAUUUGAAACUUUUUAAAGAUAAAUAUUAACGAUCGUACAAUCUUACUGUGAUCCUACAAAAAACUGAUCUAAUUAAGAUUGUGAUCAAUUUACCUAGGUGGGAUUGUAACAUCGUAGGAUAUUAUGAUCCUAUGAUCAGGAUCGUGAUUUUAACAAUCUUAUUGUAAGUCUCUAAAACCAUAUCAUGGGAGCUUGUUUGAGGCCAUGAAGAGAUUUCUGAAGAUGACACAUAUAGUCUGGGUGAAUGGAGUAACAGAACCCAGGAGGUUGAUGCAUGUAAAUUGUCUCCUACAGUUGACUAUGAAGAAAAGCAUUCUUCGCAUCCAACUGAUGAAUGUGCAAAUGUUUGGAUACAAUAAUGCUAAGAACUGUGCGGAUGGUGGCCGGUUUAACAAUCGAACUGAACGUCUCAUCAUAAUCAAAUUUAGGAUGUUGACUCUCCUCAUUUGCAAUGAGUCGAGCUUUAUCAGUAACAUCAACCUUAUAUUUCUUCUUGAACAUCCAAAUAGAAAGAACUAUGUUGGCCCCUACGGGCCUCAAAACAAGAAUUCAAGUUCCAUUAGAAAUAAGUCAAACUCAUCCUACAUGGCAAUGGUCCAAUUAUGGACACGAAGGGCUUGUAGAUGGGAUUUAGGAAGAGGCGAUUCAUACCUUAUACGAUUCAAUUUUACCCCAAAGUGUUUGGAAAAAAAUGACAAUAAGUGAGUACCUGAUUUAAGAUUUAUUGCUUAACGUUUAAAAGUACGUUGGUAUUUUUAAUGUUUAAAAGUUAGUUUAAAAUUUUAAAUGUACCUGUUGGGAUUACUCUUAAUACCAGUUAUGGCUUUUAAUAACUAUGUUUAUAAGUACUUGUUUUUGUCAAAACAAUACAUGUUGGGGAUUUAAAAUGUUGGUUUUUAUAUGUGUCCAUACAAAAUACCUAAAGUUUCUCCAUACCAGCAACAUAAGGGACCUUUAUUGGAAGGUUGAUUUCUAUGCAGUAAUAACAUCCACUUGUAACAUCCCAAAAUUUCAUGGUAAAAUUUUCAUUUUUAACACAAUCAAAACACCCAUUUAUCUUUUAAACAAACAUUUAGAAGUAUUUCAUAAUAAAAUAGUUACCAGAGUACAAUCCUAAAGUCACAAAGUUGCGGAAAAACAUGGGUAUAUGCGCUGUGAUCAAGUCGGGCCCUUCCCUUUUGAACCGGAAGUACCUAAAAUCAUAAACAAUAAACCGUAAGCACAAAGCAUAGUGAGUUUCCCCAAAAUACAACAUACCAUACAUACAAUAGAGAAUGUUAUGUGCCAGCCAUAGUCUUGCCAUUAUGCCAUGAGUUAUAUCAUGAUCUUGCCAUUAUGCCACGAGUUGUAUCAUGGUCUUUCCUUGCUAAGCCGGGGGCUGAUACCCUGGCUCUUAUAGACAAGUGCUAGGAACCACCUCCUAGUCUUCCAUUCAAGCAUCAUAAAGACAACUAGCAUACAAUCCAGUGUUCUAAAAGGCGCGCCAUGGCGGGUGCCAAGGCGCGCCAUGGCGUGAGGCGCGGCGUCACCGUUACGAAAAGCUUCAUAACGUUGCUGUUAGGCAUGGCGCGUGGCAAGGCAUGAUAUGGCGUGCCAUGGCGCGUGUUUUUUCGUUUGAGACACGUUUUUUUGCUCUUUUUUAUACCUUUUCUAAUCGGACAUACAAGUAUUGUGUUUUUUUAUUAACUUUCUGUUAUUAGUUGUUGAUAUAACACUUGUAAAAACUAGGUAUAUUUGAUAUAAAUUUAUAUUUAUGCGGUAAUAUAAUUAUAAAUUAGUACAAAAUUGCCACCUUACAUCACGCCUUGAAAAACGCCAUGGCUCGCCAUAACUCGUUAAGUUUGAGGCUUGGCCUUGCCGCCACGCCACGCCUCAUGCCUUUUAGAACCUUGAUACAAUCUACAACUAACUAUCUAUUUAACAGCCAGGGUCUGAACCCUAGGCUUGCAUACUGAUUUUCCGGAAGCCACCCUCGGGUAUUUCAAACAAAUACCAAGGGCUACCCCUUAGUCUUCCAAUAAUACAUAAGCUAAUAGGUCAACAUUGGUUCCUUCGAUCUAUAGAUAUAGUGAGAUGACUCACAUUAAACUGCUGAAGCCAUAGAUGAAUAUCUGACUACAACCUCGCUAAAAGUCCCUAUGGUAUCAAUCAACAAAUAACAUCCACUCAAUAAUUGGAUCCUAACUCACACUAAGAGUCCAAAUUAGGGUAAAAGACCUUUUUACCCCUUUCCUGAACUUGGUCCAAGGCCAAGGCCCAAUCCAAUUGUCUAAAAAUCGCAAAAUCCAAAAUGAUCACUCAAGGCCUAAAUAUGGCCCAAUUUUCCAAAUUGGCCCCAAUCCCUUUCAUGGGCCUUUACCCAAGAGAGUCCAUACUAGAAAUAUAAUGACCCAACAAAAACCUAAACUCUUAAGGUCUACACAUCUCCCAAAACCGAGAAGCCCAAACUGAAGCCCACUUGCCGAGUAGGUUACGCGUACUCAGCUCGUACUCUUAGCAUACAUGCUCUGGGGCUGGUAUGUGCAACGUACCAGCUUGAACACACAUCAUACUCCUCAUUUGGCCAACCCAUGUCAAAAAGCACUUAAUCCAUUCAACCCCUACUCCAAACUCUCAAAUCUUGUCUCAAAAGAUGAUUUAUAAUGUGAAAUUGGCAACUUGACGUGCAUGCAUGGCUUAAUGGGGCUCUAGAGCACAAAAGAGCUUAAGAAAUGGUCUUAACACAUGCAUAAGUCCAUAUCCACCAUAAAGUUUGCAUUUUUAGGCUUAAAGGACCCCUAAAAUAUCCAGAUCUAAAAGGGUAAGCUUCUAAAAUGACCAUAGCACACAAGAACCAACCAAAAAGGACCAAAAUAGUCAUAAACAAGCCCAAAAGAAGAUCUAUACAAAGAGUUGACAAGUUAUGGACUUUAUACCUCAAACGUCACAAAAUAAAGAAGCUUAAUCUGGAUCUCUAAGCUCUUCUCCAAAGGUUGAGUCUUCAAUCUUCUUCUUCUACCACUUCAAGAUGCACAAAACACACCAAGCAUCUUUACAAGAGCUCCAAAGCACCAUAUAAAGGCUAAGGAUUAUGGCUUGAAGAUAUGGAGGCUGGUCUAAAAUGUCCAAAAAGUGGGUUAAAGAAGAUUAAAUAUCGCACAAACCCUAAAAAUUAGGGUUUGUCCAAAGCCAACAUAUGCCCAUCGUAACUUAUGCAUGCCUAACGUACGUGGUCGAUGCCCACGACCAUGAUCUAGAUAGUACGCUAAGUGUACUCAUAGAUUACACCCCGCAUACUAGCUAGAGGACCAAAAUGCAAAAAAAUUAUUUAGCAAGGGUUAAAGGGAAAACUUACAAGGUCUGAAUGUUACAAGUUCUCUGUGGGGAGCGCUGAUAUUGUUCGUGAUGAAGAAUGAUGUUUAACAUCGAAUGUGCAUUGAUUACUAGGAGUUGAGCAAGUUAACGGUGUAGAACUGUUAUACCCUUCCGAGGAUUGGUGACCUCUUUGAUCAUUUGAAAGGUGCAUCCAUGUUCUCCAAGAUAGAUUUGAGGUAUGGUUAUCAUCAGGUGAGAGUGAGAUAUGAGGACAUGGAGAAGACCAUAUUCCAAACUCGUUAUGGGCAUUACAAGUUCAUGGUGAUGCCAUUAGGGCUCACCAAUGCGCCUACUAUCUUCAUGGAUUUGAUGAACUGGGUGUGCAGGACAAUGCUCGACCGAUCUGUCAUUGUGUUUAUUGAUGAUAUCUUGGUGUAUUCCAAGACCAGAGAGUAGCAUGAUGGGAUUUUAGUCGAUCCGGCCAAGAUGUAGGUUGUGAUGCAGUGGGAGGUUCCAAAAUCUAUUGGAUUAGGUGUCUAAGCCUAUAACUAUUAAUGGUAUGUACUUGACCCGAGAGUAACAUGGUCCAUUUGGGUUGCAUAUCACCAAGACAAUUUGAUAGGAUAGACUUUUGAGAAGAGGUUAUUUAUGAUUUGUUAAUAUAUUAUAUGUUCUAAUAUAUUAAUAUGAAAUCAUAUUAUUUAAUUAGUAUUGAUAAAUAAUUAAUUUGGAACUAAUUCUGUGAUCAAAAAGAGACUAAUUAAAUAUAAGGGGUUGAUUGGUAAAUCAUUCAUUCUUAUGGUGUGGGCCAAUGAUCCAUGAUUCCUUAGGUUGGGCUAAACCCAUGUGAUAACCCAUGGAUGAUCCAUGGAGGUUUAAACCCAUGGAUCCUAAGGAAUAUGGAAGGUCAUGGCUAUUAAGGCUUGCAUGAUGUAACCCUAAUCUUGCCACACUGUAGAAGAAGCCCUUAUCAUCCAAAAUGGCACUACUAGUGAUCUUGGAAUGCAUGAGCCGAUUUUACGCACUAGAUAUUCUCUCUCAAAAACUUCCUUUGUCCUAGGUGUGUUUGAUUCUAUUUGAGGUGCAACACUUAGGGCACUAAGUUCUUAAAGGUCCAAGGCUUCCAAGUACAACAAAACGUAUGUCAUCUAACUAGAAUUUUUAUAGUAAAGAUACUCUAUUGUAUGCUAGUUAGGAUGAUGCUUUAAAAAAUAAAGUUUGCAUGUAUAUUAGAGAAAACAUAGAUCUAAAGCAUCUAGGGUUUCAUUUACACCAUUGGAGUGUUAGAAUGCUCGAAACCCUUCAGUGGUGUCAGAGCCUAUGGUUGUUUUCCAAUAUACUUGAGGCUACUUGUUUUCAAAGCUUGGAAAAAUCGAUUUUCAACAUUCUGGACAAUGAACUCACCGAGUCCACUGGGGGACUCGUCGAGUCCACUCACAAAACUGACCAAGUCGCCGAGUUUGUUCAUUCACUCGACGAGUUGGUGAUCCAGAAUGCAUAUUUUCGAAGUUUUUGGCUAGAAUUGGACUAGUAUCAUUACCCUAAGCUAUUUUUGAACUUAUAAACCUAUUUUUGAUGUGGUAAUGAUUAUGCUUAUCCAAUUUAAAACAAAAUUUUUAAAGGUUCAUGUUUUGUAUUAGUUUAUAUUGUUAGGCUAAUUACAUGAAAUUUGUUUGAUAUGAAUUAUCUUGUUCAUAUGAGUUUUAUCUAGAUCAUGAACAUUACUUGACAUGCUUAUUAGUGUUUGAUGAUCUUGAUGGCCUUUAAUUUACUCCACAACUUGUCCUCAAGUUAUGGAAAAUGAAAAGUUUUUUCAUUUUAAAAAUAUCAUUAAAGUCAUAGGUUAUGUACUUGAAGAGUCUUUUUCCCAUAAAUAGUUUUAUGAACUCCAUAACUUGUCCUCAAGUUAUGGAUUUUCAAGGCUUUUCAUUAAAGCCUAUAUUAAACUCAAAUGUUAUGGAUUCCAAAAGUUUUUGAAAAGUUCAAAAUUUUCCCUCAAGUUUUGGAAUUUGUAAAUGUAGAGUCUUCUUUUGACACAUUUAGUUCCAAACCCUAGAAUUUUAAAUGUUUAAAAUUCAACCUUAUACUAUUAUAAUAUUAUAGGUUUAAUAUAUAUAUAUAUAUAUNAUGUAUGUAUAUAUGUAUAAGAAUAUAGUCAGUGUUACCGUUAGUAGGCCUCAUUCAUGAAGCCGGUCUAUAAGAGGGGUAUAAGGUUACUGCCUAUAAAAUGGCAGUUUAAUGGGUGUCCACUCUCACCCACCGCUUCCUUAAUUGAUGGAGGGUCGUUAGUCGAACGGGUUCAAUAGGAGAUUUUAAUUUUUAUUAUAAGUAUAAUGAUAAUUAUAAAGUAACUAAACUUUCAUUAAAUUCCCAAUCUUAGUUACUUUAGGAAAAAUGUGAAUUUGGUGCUAAGCCAUGAAAUUGCACUUUGCACCUUGUUAAGUCAUUAGUGGAGCGUAUGUGGUUAACCGGCACACUAAUCUGGAUUGACAGUGUGUGGCAAAGGGUAGCUUGAUGUUAAUCAUAGAUCAAUGGAGUGUGUGUGGUUAACCGACACAUUGAUUAGGUGGUUGUAAUGUAACAUCCCGAGUCCAGGUAUACUUUGUGAACCUUGAUCUAUUGAGUUGUUGUCUAUUUUUGUGCUUAAUAUAAAAUGAGUGAAAAAUGAUUACGCGGGGCGUACCUGAGGAGCACACUUAGCGUACUCAUCAGUGUGCAUGUGACACAGAGACCACCUAGUACAUUAGGCGUAACUGUGGGUAUGCUGGGCGUACUAGGCCGAGAGUGCAAACCCUAAUUUAGGGUGAGUCCCCUAUAUAAAGGAUAUGAUGACCUCAUUCCUGGCCACCAUUCCCAGAGAGAAAACGCUAAGAGGGACCUAACCCUCGUUCUAGAGCUUGUGUGUGUGUGUGUGUGUGUGUGUGUUUGAGCCUUGAGAGCUUUUGUGUGGUUUUGAAGAGAAGAGGAGGUCUUGAAGAAGAAGGAGUUGGAGUCCAUGCUUCUAGAUUCGAGAAAAUCUGAGUGGGAAGCUUCUUGUUGAGGUAUAAAGCUUCACUCUUUACCUCUCUUUUGUUAUGAGCAUCUUAUUUGAGUAUUUCAGGGUUUUGUUCCAAAAAGGUGGAGACUUGAUGAGAUCUUGAACUCCAGAGACGAGGACCAAACCCUUUUGAGAAUAUGAGUAGCGCAAAGUCAAAAAAAAUCAAAUCUUGGUCGUUGAAAUCACUCCAUGCAUGAGUUAUGAGCUCCUUGAGGCAAAAGAGUGUAUAUUUUGAGGUUGGUGACCAUUUCAGCCAUGCAAAGGCUUAAAGUCACCGACUAUUCUUGGAAUGUACUUGACCCAAUUAGCAUGGUCCAUUUGGGUCAUGGCAUUGUAACACUUGGAUAGACUAAAUGAGAGAAAGGAUACUAAAGGUUUAUUAAUAUAUUAUAAGUUCUAAUAUAUUAAUAAUAGUAUUUAAUUAGUAUUGAUCAAAGAAUUAUUUUGGAAUUAAUUAAGUGAUCAAAAAGAGACUAAUUAAAUAUAUAGGGUUGAUUAUGUAAAUCAUCUAAUCUUGUAUAGUGGGCUAAUGAUCCAUUGUUUGUGUGGAUUGGGUUAAAACCCAUAAGGUGCUCCGUGGAUAGUACAUGGAGGUUACAAACCCAUGGAUCAUGGAACAUGAAAUGCCAUGACAAUUAGGGUUUACAUGGUGUAACCCUACUUGUAACACAACUAUAUAAAGACUCCAUGGAUGACUAAAAUCGGCACUACAAGAAAGUAAUAGAGGGCUAGCCGAUUUUGAGGUGUAAGUGAACUUCUCUCAAAGUUAUUCUAAGUGUUGUGGUGUUGUGUGAAACAUUUGAGGCAUCACACAUGAGGUCCUAGGCUCACAAGGUUUUCAAGGAAUCCAAGCAACUAAAAUGUAUGUUCUUCUACUAGCAUUUAUGUUUUAAAGUUCCCCACGACAUGCUAGUUAUAUUAAGAACCUUGGAAAAUCAUUUUGCAUGUAUCUUAGUAAAACAUAGAUCCAAGGUUUCUAGCGUUGCAUGUACACCUUAAGAGUGUUACAAUGCUCAAAAACCCUUCAAUGGUAUGAGAGACUAUGCUUGUUUAUUUAAUACUUGAUGCAAACUUGUUAAGAAAAUCGACAAAACUGCCUUCUGCUGAGUGAACUCGUCGAUUCCAAGGGGGGACUUGAUGAGUCCAUGCUUAUAUUCAACCAACUUGCCGAGUCAGUUCUUGCACUCGACGAGUUGGCUUGUCAAAGUGCAGUUUUUCGACUUUUGCUGCUAGAAAUGGGCUAGAAUCAUUACCCUAAACUGUUUUGGUGUUAUAACACUUGUUUUAGAUGGUGUAAUGUUUAUGCUAAUCCAUUUUCAAAGGGUAAUAUCAAAUUUUCAAGCUUUGUAUGGUUUAUUUAUGAUUCUUGAAAUUGUUGAUAUGAACAUUCAUGAACUUAUGAGUUUAGAAGAUCAUAGGAAUUAUUUGUAACUUGCUUGUUGUUUUAAUUCUUGAUCAUGAUGUGUUUUAAUGGAAUCUAUAGUUUAUCCUCAGGUUAUGGAUUACCAAAAGUCACACUUUUAAAGUCCAUUAUUAAACACAUAGGUUACAUGAAAUGAAAUGUCUCUCAUAUUAUUAAUCCAUUAACUCCUAAGUUAUGAAAGUUGAAAAGUUUUGAAAGUUACAAAACGUUCCCUCAAGUUUUGGAACAUGUAAAGCUACUUUAAAAAACUUUAGUUCCAACCCCUAGAAUUUUAAAAGUUAAAUUUUAACCCUUAUACUUUAUAAUAUUAUAAGUUAAUAAUAUAUAUAUAUAUAUAUAUAUANNNNNNNNNNNNNNNNNNNNNNNNNNNNNNNNNNNNNNCGUUUCACCGUUUGUAGGCCUCAGUCAUGAAGCCAGUCUAUAAGGGGGUAUAAGGUUGUUACUAAUAAAAUGGCAGCUUAAUGUGUGUCCACUCUCACCCACCGCUUCCUUCACUGGUGGAGGGUCGUUAGCCGAAUGGGUAAGACAAUGAAUUUAAUCCUCAUUAAAAGUAUGAAGAUUGUAAAGUAACUAAUUUUUUUUUUUUUAUAAAUUCCCAAUAUUUGUUACUUUAGGAAAAUGUGAAUAAGGUGUAUCCCAUGAAAUUACACUUUGCACUUUGUUUAAGUCGUUAGUGGAGCAUGUAUGGUUAACCGACACACUAACCUGGACUUAAUAUGGUAGGAAAAGGGUGGCUUAAGGUUUAUCAUAGGUUGUUGGAGUGUGUGUGGUUAACCGGCACAUCGAUUGAGUGAUAAACAUUAAGAGUAGCAAGUAAUUUGCAUGGUUACUUCACACCUUGUUUUGUGUUCCUCGGCAUCCCAGUCACAAAACUUGAAUGGAACACUCGAGAUUGAAACAUGCCAUUUAAAACUUCAAUGAAUCUCAAAGAACGUAGGAGUUUCAAAAAGCAAUUAAAACCUAAUAUUUUAUUUCGUUUUUCAUGGUGGAAAUUGGUGAAUCGUCAUUCACCUACCUUGAAAUAUUUUAUAGCUUGGAUUACAGCAUCCCUCUUCUAAGUUAUAAAAUAUUGUGUUGGGUCCUAGCCUUAAUAUUACAUUUGGGUGUCUUAUUAAUGACUAUCUUUAUAUCUAAUCUAAACUUGUUUUUCUUCUUUUUCAGAUGUCUUCUAACAAUGUUGCUUUUGGCUCAAACCCUACCGGCUCCUUCUCUCUUAUGAACCUUUGUGGGAGAUUCAUCUUUGAUGGUUCCAACUUUAUGGAUUGGAUCGGGAACAUCAGGAUGGUCACUCAUUAAGAGGACAAAGAAUAUGUCCUCGACAAGAAGCUGAAGGAACUCGAUGAGUCAUCUGCUACUCUUGAGGAGAUCGUGGAAUUCCGGACUCAUGAGAGAGAUGCCAUGAAAGUGUCAUGUAUCAUGUUGGCCACGAUGACAGCUGAGCUCAUCGAGUUGAUGGACCACUACCAUCAAAGUGCUCGCCACUAUUACCCUUUUGAGAUGCACCAGGACUUGAUGGACCACUACCAUCAAAGUGCUCGCCAAGGAGGUAUAACAUCAUCUGCUCCAUGAUAACAACCCGGAUGAAGGAUAGAGAACCCAUCACCGGCCACUUAUAGAAAAUGCAAAGGUAUGUGGACCGUUUGUUGAAGCCAAAUGUGAACUUCCCAGAGGAGUUGACAAUUGACAUCAUUUUGCACUCCUUAGCUUCUUGUUUUGAUCAAUUCCGAAUGACAUACCACAUGAAAAAGGAGGAAGUCACACUUAGCAAACUUCAAGGACUCUUGAAGACCGUCGAAAGUGGUCUUAAGGGUAAACCGGUUGUUACCACUCCUACUCCUACCGCGGCCCCUAUCUUGGUAAUCCGGCAAGGCAAAGGGAAGAAGAGGAAGAGCCCUUCGAAGGGCACCAAGGGAAAGUCUCUUGAUGGCUCAUCUUCAAGUGGAACCAAGAAAGGUUAUGUCACUCCUUUUGCUAACCCUAAAGCGGCUGAAUGCUUCUAUUGCCACGAAAAGUCGCACUGGAAGCGAAACUGCCCAAAGUACCUACAAGAUGUGAAGGAUGGGAAAGUAAAACCCAACCAUGCAGGUAUUUACACUAUAUUGUCUAAUAACUCACCCAUUCUAAUUCUUGGGGGCUUGAUACCGGUUGUGGUAUUCAUAUUUGUUCUGACUUGCAGGGACUAAGAAGAAGUGAGGAUGUGGAGCAUGGAAAGAUACACUUAAUCAUAGGGAAUCAGAAAGCUUCACAUGUCACCAAGAUUGGAGUUUAUACUUUGUUGCUAAGUAGUGGGUUAACUUUAGAUUUGAAUAAAUGUUGUUACUCGUUUGAAAUGGAAAGAAAUAUUAUUUCCUUUCAUGCUUGGUACAAACAAGGGUUUACCUUUUCUUUUGAUAAUGAAUGUGGUGGUAUUAAUGCUUUCUUUAAUAAUGUUCUUUAUUUUAAAGCAUUACCUUGUGAUGGUGUGUAUGAAGUUGUGUCGAUUGUAGAUAACCUAGGAAAUAAUAUGUUGUGUAUUGAUUCUUCCACUAGCUUGGAUAAAGCAUCAUUGUGGCAUUGUCGUCUUAGACAUGUAAGCAAGAAACGCAUAGGCCAACUCCAAAGGGAUGGAGUGUUGUACUCAUUUGAACUAAAGUCGGAUGAUAGUUUUGAAUCUUGUCUACUUGGAAAAAUGAGAAAAUCACCAUUCACUGGUUCUUGUGGUAGGGUUGAAGGUUUGUUGGAUCUGGUACACACGGAUGUGUAUGGACCCUUCAGAACCGCCAUAAGGGAUGCUAACCGCUUUUAUGUGACUUUCACUGAUGAUUGUAGUAGAUAUGGAUAUGUCUACUUAAUCAAGCAUAAUUCAGAAACCUUUGAAAAGUUCAAAGAGUUUAACCAGGCAGUGGAGAACCAAUUGGGCAGGAACAUUAAGAUGCUUCGAUCCGAUCGAGGAGGAGAGUAUCUUAGUACCGAGUUCCUUGACUAUCUUAAGGAAUGUGGGAUUGUCUCACAAUUGACACCUCACAGGACACCACGACUUAAUGGUAUGGCUGAAUGGCGUAAUCGAACCUUGUUGGACAAGGUUCGUUCAAUGAUGAGUCGAGCUUCGCUACCAAUCUCAUUUCGGGGGUAUGCCUUAGAGACUGCCACUCAUGUUCUAAAUCUAGUCCCUACAAAGAAGGUUGCCAAAACACCUCACGAGAUGUGGACUGAAAAAGUUCCCAAUCUAGACCACAUCAAGAUUUGGGGUUGCAAGGCUUUCGUGAGGCACGAGACUCACGAUAAUCUCGAACCACGAAGUGAGAGGUGUAUUUUCAUCGACUACCGACAGAAAUCCUUUGGUUACCUCUUCUACAGACCCAUUGAUAAUGUGGUCUUUGUAGUGAGGAGGGGAGUCCUUUGCGGGAGAGAGUUCAUAAGAAAAGGAAACAGUAGGAGGCAAUUUAAUCUUGAAGAAAUUCAAGAGUCAAGUGGUAAAGGAACCUGAAACCCUAGCAAUCAACCUGAGGAGGAAACUCUUGUUGAUUCGACAGAUGAAUUUGUACCUCUGAAGCGUUCCACAAGAGUUAGGAAUGCACCUGAGCAUUACUACGGUUUCCAUAUUAGUGCGGAAGGUGAUACACUUAUCAGUGAUAAUAGGAUGGUAAGUCUGGAUGAACCUAACAGCUAUACGGAUGCCAUGGCAGGCCCUGAGGCUGCUAAAUGGAAAGAGGCUAUGGACAACGAGAUAUAGUCCAUGUAUGACAAUCAAGUUUGGGACUUAGUUGACAAUGUACCAGGUCAUAAUACAUUUUGGUGCAAAUGGAUCUUUAAGAAAAAGACCGACAUGAAUGGUAAUAUAGACACUUAUAAGGCGUGAGUGGUUGCAAAGGGCUUUUCUCAAACUCUGGGAGUUGAUUAUGAUGAGACUUUUUCAGUAGUAGCUAAGAUUAAGUCUAUUAGGGUUGUCUUAGCCAUUAGUGCAUUUCAUGAUUAUGAAAUAUGGAAAAUGGAUGUAAAAAAUGCUUUCCUUAAUGGAAAAUUGGCUGAGGAUAUUUACAUGAGUCAGCUAGAGGGUUUUGUCAGUACAGAGUACCCUAAUAGAGUGUGUAAGCUUGAGAAAUCCAUUUAUGGAUUGAAACAAGCACCUCGCAGAUGGAAUCUUUGUUCCAAUGAGAAAGUCGAGAGUUUGGCUUUUCGAGGAGCGAAGAUGAAUCAUGUGUAUAUGUCAAGGUUAGUGGGAGUAUAGCUAGCUUUUUGGUAUUGUAUGUGGAUGGCAUAAUACUAAUAGGAAAUGACAUCCCAACUCCGCUGGAAGUGAAAUCCUAGCUUGGGAAGUGUUUCGCUAUGAAGGACCUUAGAGAAGCUGCCUAUAUCCUAGGGAUAAGGAUUUUAAGAGACAGGAGUAAAAGACCAAUUGGACAUAGUCAGAGUACCUACUUGGAUCAAGUGUUGAAUAGAUUCAGCAUGCAGAAUUCCAAGAAAGGAGAGUUACCAAUCCAGAGUAACGCUAUACAUAGUAAGACUUAGAGCCCAAGUACAGAGGCUGAGAUAGCUGAGAUGAGUUGAGUACCGUAUGCUUCCGUUGUAGGCUCGAUCAUGUAUGUUAUAACUUGUACUCGUCCUGAUGUGGCCUUUGCAUUGAGCAUGGUCUGCAGAUAUUAGGGGAACCCUGGCAAGGCUCACUGGACUGCAGUAAAGAACAUUCUCAAGUAGCUGCGGACGACUAAGGACUGGGUCCUUACCCUCGGUGGGAGUGAUGACUUGAGAGUAGUAGGGUAUAGUGAUGCUAGCUUCCAGACUGAUAGGGAUAAUUUCCGCUCUUAGUCAGGCUGGGUCUUUACCUUAAACGGAGGAGCAAUUACUUGGAAAAGUUCCAAGCAUGAGACAGUGGCUGACUCAACUCGCGAAUCAGAGUAUAUAGUGGCAAGCGAGGGAGCAAAGGAGGCUAUAUGGCUAAAGAAAUUCAUUGGACACCUUGGGGUUGUACCAGCCAUAAAGGAGCCUAUGGAAAUUUUCUGUGAUAGUGAAAGUGCAGUUGCCUUAGCCAAGGAACCAAGGGUGUUGGAUAAGGUGUCUAAGUCCAUAACUUAUUUGGUAUAUACUUGACCCGACCCGGCAUGGUCCAUUUGGGUUGCAUUUCAUCCAAACUAUUUAUGGAUAAUUUUAUGAGAGUUAUACACAUAUGAUUAUUAAUAUAUUAUAAGUUAUAAUAUAUUAAUAUGAAGUCAUGUUAUUUAAUUAGUCUUAGUCUUAAAUUAAUUAUGAAUUAAUUUAGAGAUUAAAAGGAAGACUAAUUAGAUUGUGGGCUAUUGGUUUUAUAUAGUGUGGGCUAACACUCAUUUGUUAAUGGGCUAGGCUUGUAUGGAAGUCCAUGGAUGAUCCAUGGAGCUUUUAACCCAUGGAUCCUUGGAAAAGGAAAGGUCAUGGGUUAUUAGGGUUUCACCCUAAUCAUGUACACUAUAUAAGCAUGUAUAUGUUGCAUGAAAUAGCCACUAGUGUCACUAGUGUGUGUGCUUUUGUGUGGCCAAUUUUGUAGUGUGUAUACACUCUCUCAGAGUUUUCCAAGAGUUUGUGGUGCUUUGUGAUUCCAUUUGAGGCAUUCACACUAUUGGUGCUUGGCCCUCAAACUCCUUAGGAAUCAAACUCAUCAUCAAAAGGUAUGUAAUCUCAUCUAAUUCUUUUAUGUUUAAAAGUACCCCAUGCCAUGUUAGAUAGGUUAUGAACCUUGGAAAAUUAUUAUUUUGCAUGUAUUUAGACAAACAUAGAUCCAAGGUUUAUUAGGGUUGCAUGCACACUUAGGAAGUGUUAGAUUGCUCAAAACCCAACAGUGGUAUCAGAGCCUAGGCUUGCUUGUUUGAUACUUGAUGCAAAAUAGUGAAAAAAGUUGAAAUUGUUGCUGUCUGGCUGAUGGACUCGCCGAGUCCAUGGGGGGACUCGCCGAGUUCAAGGCAAAAUUCAUCCUACUCGGCGAGUAGGUUCGUGCACUCGGCGAGUAGAAUGAUCAGAAUGCAGAAUUUCGACUUUUGCUGCUGGAAAUGGACUAGAAACAUUACCCUAAACUGUUUUGGUGUUUUAAAACUUGUUUUAGUUGGUGUAAUGGUUGUUCUAAUCCAUUUACAAUAGCAUAUAUCAAAAUUCCAUGAUUUUUAUGUGUUCAUAUAAUUCUUGAAAUUUUGAUGAUCAUGUUCAUGUUCUUAUGAAUUUAGAAGAUGAUAGGAAUUAUUUGCUGAAUUGUUUAGAAUUAAUUCUUGAUCAUUUAUGUGUUUUAAUGGAGUCCAUAAUUUGUCCUCAAGUUAUGGAUAUCCAAAGGUCACUUUUCUUUAACACACACAUUUAAACACAUAAGUUACAUGAAAAUGAAGAGUCUUCAUUUUUAUGAACCUUUAAUUCAUAAGUUAUGAAAUGAAAAGUUUUGGAUAGUUACAAAACUUGCCCUCAAGUUUUGGAAUUUGAAAAGUUUCACACACUUUAAUAAACUUUAAUUCCAACACUUAGAGUUUUAAAAGUUAAAAUUCAACACUUAUACUAUUUAUAACAUUAAUGGUUAAUUAUUAUAUAUAUGUAUAAGAACAAGUCGUUUUACCGUUAGUAGGCCUCAUUCACGAAGCCGGUCUAUAAGGUGGGUAUAAGGUUGUUGCCUAUAAAAUGGCGACUUAAUGGGUGUCCACUCUCACCCACCGCUUGCUUGAUCGGUGGAGGGUCGUUAGCCGAACGGGUAGGACAAUGACUUUAAAUUCUCAUUAAAAGUAUAAUGAUUAUUAUAAAGUAACUAAAAAUUUUUUAUUUAAUUCCCAAUCUUAGUUACUUUAGGAAAAAUGUGAAUUUGGUGCUAGCCCAUGGAAUUCACACUUUGUACCUUACCAAGUCGUUGGUGGAGCGUGUGUGGUUAACCGGCACACUAACUUGGACUAGUAAGGAUCACGAAGGGUGACUUAAUGUUUGUCAUAGAUCAAUGGAGCGUGUGUGGUUAACCGGCACAUUGAUUAGGUGAUAAUAUUAAGGGUACCAAGUGAAUUGGUAUGGUUAUUCACACCUUGUUUUGUGAUCCUCGGCAUCCCAGUCACAAAAUUUGAGAGGGCACACUCGAGAUUGAAACAUGCCAUUGAAAAGUUCAAUGAAUCUCAAAAGAUCUAGGAAUUUCAAAUCCAAUUAAAACCUAAUAAAUUAUUUCGUUUUUCAUGGUGGAAAUUGGUGAAUCGUCAUUCGCCUACCUUCAAAUAUUUUAUAGCUUGGAUUACGGCAUCCCUCUUCCAAAUUAUAAAAUAUUGUGUUGGGUCCUAGCCUUAAUAUUUCAUAUUGGGUGUUAUAUUAAGGACUUUGAAUCAACUAACUUGAUUUUCUCCCAUUAUAGAUGUCUGGUUCAGACAACUAUGAUCUUCCCAAAUCUCUUGAAGAUGGUGUCCCUCAACAUCAUGCUUCACUUCCUCCACCUCCUCCAAUUAUUCUCCCUCACCCACAAGUUCUUGAAAAGUUUAAAGUCACUCAAUCCCUAUUGGCAAGCAUAGUCUAUGUGUGCUCACAUCUUGGAGAUAAAGUCACAUAUUGACAAGCCGGGAGAGUUGGGUGUCAAAGUCUCGUGAAAGUUGGAUGUUCAAUCACUUUCUUAGUAACAUAGUGAGUCUCUUUGGGACUACUAUGAGACAGACUAUGACAUGACCCUUAAUGAUGUUAUCUAUUUGCUUGGUGUUGUGGAAUCAGCAAUGAUUUGGAACACCAGUAAAGCAAAUUUGAUUAAAAGAACAACUUCCCAAGUCUUAAAUGGACAUUGACAAUGGUAGCAUUGGAUAUCUAGAAAAGGAUUUCUCUUCCCAAUGGAAAGGGAUCGGCCAUAGUCAACUCGGUUGACCAAAUGGUAAAGAGAAAGGCUAAGUCUGAGAUAGUCUCAUGUGCCAUUACCAAAGGGUCCAUGUGUUUUGUUGCCAAAGGAAGGGGCAUUGGUUGCGAAGCUGCCCUAUUCACCUGAAAGGUCAUAAGGUUGAUCAAGUCAAGAGGUUUGACUCUACUUCGGGUAAAGUCCACUGUCUAACUCUAUUAAGUUCCUAUUUGGAGAUUCUUAUUACAUAAUGUGAAUGGGUCACAUGCUGAUGUUUUUAAGAAUCAAAGAAAAGAUAGGAAGCUUAAAGUAAGUAUAUGUUGAUUCUGAUUGCGAAGGUGGGUUUCGAUCGCAUGGUUCGGUAAUCAGAAUUUUGAGCUGUUGCUUAAGAGUUAUAAUAUAUUGCUUAUGAAUAGAUAACAACAAGGUUUUCAUGUGGAUUGUAAGGAUAAGUUUUUCCGCAAAGUUUUAAAAAAAAAAAAAAAAAGGGUUUUAAUUUUAUUUAUUUUAAAAAUAUCCUUACAAUGGCAUCUGUGGAAAAUUGUUGCUUAUAUGUUUCCAGUAAUAGCAAUAUUGGAAAGUGGAUUUGAUUCUUUCAUUUGUGGUAGUGUCUGAAUUUACCAAAUGAAGAAAGUUUUUCAUCACCCAAGUUUCAAUUGGACAGAAACUUGGAAUCAUACAAGUUGUAUUGUAUGAUGAAUGAGAAUUUUCAUCUUUGAAAAUUAAGACUAAUUCUUUGAUCACAUGUAUAUGUGAGUCAAUUGAAGGACUAAGGAAUUAGGUACACUGGGUGUGCGCUGGUCAAGGUCCACCACAAAGAUUGAUUUGUCAUGAUUUACUAAAGAUUAGUAAAUAUGAUUAUACUUAUGAGGUUAAGUAUAAUUCUGUAACAUUGGAAAGGUUACAAUGUAUGACAAAACAAAUGAGAAGAAUCAAAUUAGGCAGAAAGAUAAAAGUUUCUCAAAUCUGAAAGGAUGGGAGAGUACUUUAGUAUCGUAUUUCAUGAUCAUCUUAAUGAUUAUGAAACCAUAUCACAAAUUCAUACUCUAAGGACGUCUUAGUGCAUUGUUAUGGCUAAGAAGAGAGGUCAUGAAUUGUUGGAUUGGUUAAAAUCAAGAAGAUGAGUCAUACUUCGUUCCAAAACAAUUCUUAGAGUCAUACUCCAAGAUUGUAACUUUGAGUGACAUAAAGGAAGAUUUAUUAACACUAGUCAAAUGUAAGAGUAAAAUGUUUUCUACUCUUGUACAUUUGAGAUUGGUAAGUUGUGAUGUCUUGGAUGAGACAAAGACCAACUAAGACCAAUUGUGUGAAGUGUUAGUCUUGAUAAGAAUCCGCACUAUCCCUUGAAUAUUUGUUUUGUCAAGGAAUGGUUCUUGACUGGGGAAACUUAUAUGUCAAGGGGACAGUGGGAGCCUUAAAGAUCCUGAAAGAGUUUCAAGAUUUAAUCAAGAGUAAAACCUGUAAUUUAUCACUAGCACACGACUUAAGGUUUGCAACCUAUCGUGUUGACAUAAUUCUUAUUUCUGUACCUACUUCAAAUAAGUUGAAUUUGCAUGUGAGUUAUCAGAGUUCAACUUGGAAGCAUUGGUGGGCCUUGUGCUACCAAGGUGACAAGAAACUAAGAUUGAACAAGUUUAAUCCAUGUAAGGCUGAAUUUGUCACUAACCUUAUCUUGUGAUUAUGGUUUUGACAAAUUCACAUGGAUAGGAACUCAUACACUAUAAAAUCUAAGUGUCAUAAGGUUUCUCUCCGAUUCAUGAAAAUGAUGGUGAGGAAACGCUUUCACUAAGUAGAUUUUACGUAGAUAUCAAUUGUGUUAUUUGCAUUUUCAAAAGUCGUUAGUGGAGCGCGUGUGGUUAACCGGCACACUAACAUGGACUUGUGAGAAAUGGCAAAUGCCUAAGCAAUUGAGACUAUGAUUACGGCAUCCCUUUUCAUAGUUCUGAAAAUUGUUUAGACACACAUGUGAGCUAUCUAAGAAAGGGUGUAUGAAUCUAAAUUUCAGAAGUCCAGCAGAUUUCUGGAAAUAUGUCAGAGCUAGUGGGAGCAUAAGUGUUAUGCUGAUAAUCAUCAUGUUAGUGGGAGCAUGAUUAUUACGUUUAGUGUUGCAAGUUAGCAAUGUUAAUUAUAGAAAACAAAGUUUCAAUUCGUGAAGUUGCAGGGGUUGAAAAGUUGUUUUGCUAUAAUUAAGGGAGAGGAAAUUAUACUUCAUUUCAAUUCUAAAGCUUAGAUUGAGAUUUUAAUCAUCUUUAGUCAAGAAUAUAUAUAUGAAUUUUAUGUUGGAAUGGUUCAACUUGAAGAAAUUCUAUAUAUAUUGCGUUUUCAAAAUUCGAUUAUGAUUACGGCAUCCCUCUUCAUAGUUAAAUUUUGAAAACAUGGCAAAUAAAAAAUAUUGUAGCAAAAGACUGGUCUAGUAUCAUGUCUUUAUGUCAAACAUCAUGAAUCGUGUCCCAUAUGCUUCGGAUAUAGGAUCGAUUGCAUGUGCUAUAAUAUUCAUCUUUUCUAAAUUUUCCAAAUGCUUAAGGCAUUGAGAAGGGAAAAGUCUAGAACUGGAUAUGACUAAAGUGAUUAAGCAAUUGUCGAGGACAAUCUGAGGUUCGCCAAAGAUUGGUUGCUCAGGGAAAGUUGGAAGUAUGAUGUAAGUUGUCGGAAAGGACCAUAUUGACAUAUUCUGAAAAGAAGUAACUCUUGUUCGGAAGUGAUAGUCAAAAUGGGACUAUGGAAAUGUCUCCAUAGGUGGAAGUUAUUCAAUCUAUGUAAGAUUAGAAAACCUUAAUGCAAGAAGGAUGUUCAAAGCAAUGUACUUUGAAUAUGAGACUUCCGUUCCAUAGAAGUUGACCUUCUUUGGAAUACUCUGUAAUGACUGGUGACAAGGUUUUGGUGACUUUGUGCAUAAUCAUUACAAGAGGAACAUUGCAUAAAAGUUUAAAAUCUAACAGUUUUUUUGGUAAAUGAUAGGAAUCGGGGAUUCUCACAUUUACAAUAAGGAUUUGGGAUUGUGAAAUGAGUAUCAUUGGAAUCAUGUUCAAUUGAUCUACAUCACAAUGUAAGGAUCAUAGACAAACAUAGUGUGCAUACUUGGAGUAUGGCAUAACUAUUGUUUAGAAAAACAAAGUGUACAUGCUAGGAGCAUGGGACGACUGUUGUUUUUAUUCAAGUCUUAAGUUGAUUGUUUGAAACAUUAUACAAUGAAUAAUGUGUAAUCAAUAUGGUGAUAAAUAAAAGGUGGUUCUAUUUAUAUUCAAAAGGGUUCUGAGACCAUAUUGGAUUCGAUUAUUAUUGUGUUUCACUUUGCAUGUUUUGACUUCCAAAAUAGCUAGGUUAUUCUUUCCGAAUGACUAAGUUAUUUAAACACUCCACAGUCGUUCAUAUGUUGGAAGUAGGUAUGAAUCAAGACUGUCAUGAAUCGAGUUUGUAGAUGGCUAAAUGGGUUUAGUCAUAGCAAUGGUUGCUACAACAUUCAUGAGUGCUCAUAAGUUAUGAGUAUUGGAAUAAACCCACGCUCACUUGUAUCACUUCAUGGAAUUUAUCUCGAGUGAUCGUGAGACGGUAAUAUCAUAUAAAUCUUCAAACCUAGAGAUAUGAGUUGUUACCUAUGAGUUGGUUGUGCAUUGAUUGCACGUAAACGCAUCAGUAACUUGAUGUUAUAAAACGUGCCUUUGUGUACAAUUCAACAAGUAGUAGAACAAGCAUAUGAGUCGAAGUUUAUCUGUUCCUUCUAGAAAUAGAAGCGAUAUCUGGGCCCCUCGAUGAUUUUGUUGUGACCUAUGUACCGGCCGGUCAGAACUAAAUUGAUGUGUUCGAUUAAGUUCUUUGUCAAACAAAUCGAAAAUCGGGAAACAAACUGCUGGACAAUAAGUACGACGUUGUUCCAUGUAUUUGUCCGGCUGAUAUCAUGAGAACAGAGGAUUAUAUGAUCACUUAUCUAAAAUGGCGCUUCAUAGUUCAACAGAGUUUUCGAGAGCUACGAUUGCUGGUUGGUUCCUGAAGUAACAUACGCAAAUAUAGUUAUUAGACUUAUCCAAGUGGGAGUGUGUUGGAUAAGGUGUCUAAGUCCAUAACUUAUUUGGUAUAUACUUGACCCGACCCGGCAUGGUCCAUUUGGGUUGCACUUCACCCAAACUAUUUAUGGAUAAUUUUAUGAGAGUUAUACACAUAUGUUUAUUAAUAUAUUAUAAGUUAUAAUAUAUUAAUAUGAAGUCAUGUUAUUUAAUUAGUCUUAGUCUUAAAUUAAUUAUGAAUUAAUUUAGAGAUUAAAAGGAAGACUAAUUAGAUUGUGGGCUAUUGGUUUUAUAUAGUGUGGGCUAACACUCAUUUGUUAAUGGGCUAGGCUUGUAUGGAAGUCCAUGGAUGAUCCAUGGAGCUUUUAACCCAUGGAUCCUUGGAAAAGGAAAGGUCAUGGGUUAUUAAGGUUUCACCCUAAUCAUGUACACUAUAUAAGCAUGUAUAUGUUGCAUGAAAUAGCCACUAGUGUCACUAGUGUGUGUGCUUGUGUGUGGCCGAUUUUGUAGUGUGUAUACACUCUCUCAGAGUUUUCCAAGAGUUUGUGGUGAUUUGUGAUUCCAUUUGAGGCAUUCACACUAUUGUUGCUUGGCCCUCAAACUCCUUAGGAAUCAAACUCAUCAUCAAAAGGUAUGUAAUCUCAUCUAAUUCUUUUAUGUUUAAAAAUACCCCAUGCCAUGUUAGAUAGGUUAUGAACCUUGGAAAAUUAUUAUUUUUCAUGUAUUUAGACAAACAUAGAUCCAAGGUUUAUUAGGGUUGCAUGCACACUUAGGAAGUGUUAGAUUGCUCAAAACCCAACAAAGGGAUCACGGAAGAUCCAGACACAUCGACAGAAAGUAUCAUUUCAUCAGACAUCAAAUAGAAGAAGGACUCCUUGUGCCAAAGAGGGUAUCAUCGGAUGAGAACCCAGUAGAUCCCCUCACGAAGGGACUGGGUAGGGUUAAGAAUCUCCAACAUGCAAGGCGCAUAGGGCUGAAGGAUGAUAUUAGUUUUAGUAGUUAGAUAGUUUUGAAAUUUGUAAAAUGUAAUUGACAUUUUAUAAUAAAUAAAAGUUGUUGUUUAUUUAUAAGUAUAAGUGUUGCUAUCUUUUGUCAGUCAUUUACUAUCAUUUCAUUUUGAAUGUUUUGACUUCCAGAAUAAGUAUGUUAUGGUAUAUCAUAUUAUUCAUAUUCUCCACGGUCAGUCAUAUGUUUGAAGUAGAUAUGAAUCAAGACUGUCAUGAGUUGGCUUGUAGAUGUCUAACUUGUUGGACAUAGCAAGAGUUGCUACAACACUCAUGAGUGCUCAUAAAUUCUGAGUAUUAGAUUCAACCCACGCUCACUUGUAUCACUUCAUGGAAUUUAUCUCGAGUGAUCAUGAGAUGGUAAUAUCAUAUAAGUCUUCAAACCUAGAGAUAUGAGUUGUUGACUAUGAGUUGGUUACACAUUGAUUGUACGAAAAUGCAUUGGUAACUUGAUGUUAUAAAACAUGUCUUCAUGUAUGAUUCAACAAGUAGUAGAACAAGCAUAUGAGUCAAAGUUUAUUUGUUCCUUCAUGGAUUAGAAGCGAUAUAUGGACCCCUCAAUGAUUUUGUUUUGACCUAUGUACCAGGCCCAGUCAGAACUAAAUUUAUUUGCUCGAUUAAGUUCUAUGUCAAACAAAUAAGAAAUCAGGAAACAAACUGCUAGACAAAAAGUAAGACAUUGUUCCAUGUAUUUGUCUGGUUAAUAUCUAGAACAUAGGAUUAUAUAAUCACUUAUAUUAAAUGGUGCAUCAUCAUCAUCUCAGUUCCACGAGACCUUGAAAGAUCUACGACUGCUGAUCGGUCCCUGAAGUCAUUCUUGCAGUUAUAGUUAUUAGACUUGUCCAAGUGGGAGACUAUUGGAUUAGGUGUUUAAGUUCAUAACUAUUCCUGGAAUGUACUUGACCUGAUUAGCAUGGUGCAUUUGGGUUGCAUGGCAUUGCAACAUUUGGAUAGACUAAAUCUGAGAAAGGAUACUUAAGGUUUAUUAAUGUAUUAUAAGUUCUAACAAAUUAAUAAUAGUAUUUAAUUAGUAUUGAUCAAAGAAUUAAUUUGGAAUUAAUUAAGUGAUCAUAAAGAGACUAAUUAAAUAUAUGGGAUUGAUUGUGUAAAUCAUCUAAUCUUGUAUAGUGGGAUAAUGAUCCAUGGUUUAUGUGGAUUGGGUGAAAACCCAUAUGGUGCUCCAUGGGUAGUCCAUGGAGGUUACAAACCCAUGGAUCAUGGAAUAUGAAAAGCCGUGACUAUUAGGGUUUACAUGGUGUAACCCUACUUGUAACACAACUAUAUAAAGACUCCAUGGAUGUCCAAAAUCGACACUACAAGCAUGUAAUAGAGCGCUAGCUGAUUUUGAGGUGUAAGUGAACUUCUCUCAAAAUUAUUCUAAGUGUUGUGGUGUUGUCUGAGACAUUUGAGGCAUCACACUUGAGGUGCUAGGCUCACAUGGUUUUCAAGGAAUCCAAGCAACAAAAAGGUAUGUUCUUCUACUAGCAUUUAUGUUUUAAAGUUCCCCAUGCCAUGUUAGUUAAGUUAAGAACCUUAGAAAAUCAUUUUGCAUGUAUCUUAGUAAAACAUAGAUCCAAGGUUUCUAGCCUUGCAUGUACACCUUAGGAGUGUUAGAAUGCUCAAAAACCCUCCAUACUUGUCGUUCGGGGAUUUGCUACUAAUGUGGCAAGGAGGGGCACAUGGCGAAGGAUUUCCCCAAGGGGUUCUCGGUUUGCUUUCAUGGCAACCAGACCGGCCACCGGAAUGCCGAGUGUCCUUAGCUUGUGCAGGGAUCAGCCCAGGGAUCUGGAUCUACUAUAAUGUGUGCUACUAAGAUCCGGACAGCAAAGGCCGAGACACCGAGGGUUUGUGGGAGAGCCUUUCAGCUGAUAGCGGAGGAGGUCCACACAACACCAGAUGUUGUGGCUGGUACGUAUUCUUAUUAUAUUCUUAUUAUAUUGUGAUUGUGUAUAGGUACUUUUCUUGUGAGCUAUGUGUUUGCCUUGGUGUUAUUUGACACGGGUGCAAUUCGAUCCUUCGUAUCAUUAGCAUUUAGUCGUUACAUCAAUAUCCGACGAGUGGCAUUGAGUCGACCUCUAAGAGUCUCCAUAGCCGAUGAGCAUGCGGUGUUUGCGACUGAUGUGAUUCGUGGAUGUGUGCUUCAGAUUUUCAGAGUUGAGUUUCCGAUAGAUCUGGUACCGAUCACGAUGAGGGAUGUUUGUGUCAUCGUGGGCAUUGAUUGGUUGAGUUGAUUUGGAGCUAUGAUCGACUGUGAGCGUCAGCUGAUGACCAUUCGAGACCCUAGUGGGGGAGUGCUUACAGUGUAUGGCGAGGGUACUCGAUCUGGGUCAACAUUUUGUUUGGCCGCCAGAGCGAGACAGAGUCUACAGCAGGGUUGUAUGGGGUUUCUGGCGUAUGUGAUGGAUUCGUGGGCUAUUGUAGAGAGAUCGAGUUCUAACUCCGAGGUUCUGAUAGUGUGCGAGUUUCCAGAUGUUUUUCCCGAAGAGUUGCCGAGAGUGCCUCCCGAGAGGCAGGUAGAGUUUUGGAUCGAUUUGGUGCCAGGAGCGGCGCCUAUUGCCAAGCCACCUUAUCUCCAUGCACCUCCAGAGAUGUAGGAGUUAUCCUCGAGCUGUUAGGGAAAGGGUUUAUCAUGCCAAGUAGCUCGUUGUGGGGAGCUUCGAUCCUUUUUUUUCAAGAAAAAGGAUGGGUCACACCAGAUGUGCAUUGAUUACUGGGAAUUGAACAAGCUGACGUUCAAGAACCGUUAUCCACUUCCGAGGAUCGACGAUCUGCUCGGUCAUCAUGUUCAUCGAUUAUAUCUUGGUGUACUCGAGAUCCAGAGAGCAACAUGAGGAGCACCUGAGGGAGAUUUUGGUGUACUGAGAUCGGACAGGCUCUAUGCCAAAUUCUCCAAGUGUGAUUUUUGGUUAUGAGAGGUCCAGUUCGUGGGACACCUCGUUAAUCAGAAUGGUAUUUUGAUCGAUCCGGUCAAGAUUGAGGCAGUUAUGAGAUGGGAGGUGCCGAGAUCCCCCACCAAGAUCGGGAGUUUUCUAGGACUGGCCGGAUACUAUCAGAGAUUUACCAGAGAUUUCUCCAAGAUUGUCGUCCCUCUCACCAGUUUAGCCCAGAAGGGCAUUGCAUUUACUUGAGGUCCCGAGCAGGAGACCUCAUUUGAGACCCUUCUCCUGAGAUUAUGCGAGGCUCCCGUAUUGGCCCUUCCGGAGGGAAUGGAAGAUUUUGUGGUUUAUUGCAAUGCAUCUAUUAUGGGCAUGGGUGCGGUGUUGAUGCAGAGAGGGCAUGUGAUAGCGUACGCCUCAAGACAGUUGAAACCUCAUGAGACAAGAUAUCCCACCCACAAUCUAGAGCUUGGGGCGGUGGUGUUUGGCCUCAAGAUCUUGCAUCACUAUCUGUAUGGGGUUCGGUGUACCAUAUACACGGACCAGAAAAGUUGUAAGUAUCUUAUGGAUUAGCCCAACCUUAACAUGAGACAGAGAAGACGGUUGGAUGUGGUGAAAUAUUAUGACUGUGAGAUCCUGUAUCAUCCGGGCAAGGCUAAUCUGGUAGCUAACGCCCUGAUCCGUAGAGCAGAGACUACCCCGAUCCGAGACGUGUGUUUGAGGAUGACAGUGAUGACUCCAGUAUUAUAUAUCAUUUGAGAGGCUCAGGCGGAGUCCUUGAGACCGGAGAACCACAAGAUGGAGUGGGUGAUUAGGCAAGUGUUCGAGUUUGUGAUGGACAUACGAGGGCUUACGACCUUUUGAGGGAGGAUUUGGGUUCCCUAUACAUGUGGAGCUCAACGUACACUGAUGGAUGAGGCGCAUAGAUCAAGAUUCUCGAUCCAUCUCGGGGCCACUAAGAUGUAUUUGGACCUGAAGAGAGAUUAUUGGUGGCCCUGUAUGAAGAGGGAUGUUGCUUGCGUAGUCGAGAGGUGCUUGACCUGUCGUCGGGUUAUGGCCGAGCACCAGCAUCCUCAUGGCAAGUUGCCGACAUUGGAGGUCCCCUAGUGGAAAUGGGAACAAAUUUCCAUGGAUUUUAUCACCAAGUUGCCGAGAACUGCAAGGGGUGUCAACGCGAUUUGGGUGAUUGUGGAUCGGUUGACGAAGAGCGCUCACUUUCUUGCUAUUAGUCAAAGAAACAUAGUGUGUGGUUUACCGGCACAUCGAAUAGGUGACCGUAACAUGUGAGGGCACCAUGUAAGUUUGCAUGGUUAUUCACACCCGCUUUGUGAUCCUCGGCAUCCCAGUCACAAACUAGAGGGGCAUAUCGAGAUUUAAACAUGCCAUUGAAAGUUCAAUGAAUCUCAAAGGAUCUAGGAGUUUUCAUAGAUUUAAAACUUAAAUUUCUUUUUCGUUUUUCGUGGUUGAAAUUAGUGAAUCGUCAUUCACUUACCUUCAAAUAUUCUGCAAUUAGGGUUACAGCAUCCCUCUCCCGAGUUGUGGAAUAUUGUGUUGGGUCCUAGCCUUAGUAUCUCAUUUGGGUGAUUUACUAAGGACUCAAUCAAUCAACUAACUUGAAUUUGUUUUCUCCCGUUUUGUAGAUGUCAAAGUACGACAACUAUGGUCUUCCCAAAUCCCGUGGAACAAGCUUUCCACAUGAAGAUGAUAUUCCACGAUUUGAUCGAGGAACGAGAGAUCAUGCUUCACUUCCUCCACCUCCUCCAAUUAUUCUCCCUAACCCACAAGUUCGAAGGCUUGAAAAGUUCAAACUCACUCAAGCCCUUUUGGCAAGUAAUCAUAAAAAAGGAGAGUCAGUGUGUGCACACGUCCUAGGGAUGAAGUCACACAUUGAUAGGUUAGGAAUGUUGGGAUCCGUUGUCUGUGAGAAGAUGGCUGUUGAUUGGGUUCUUCAGCCACUUCCUAACUCAUAUAGUGAGUUCGUAAGAGAGUACUAUAUGAUGAACUGCGACGUGACCCUUAUAGAUCUCACCUAUAUGCUUAUUGCUGCUGAAUCAGCAAUGGUUUGGCGCAAUAGAAAAGCAAAGUUGAUUGGUGAAUCUGCCUUCAAGACCUCUAUGGAUAUAGACAAUGGCAACGAAAGACAUGCUAUGAUCGAAAAGUUUGAUCAUAAGAGAAAGGCAAUGUCUGAAGUAGUUCCAUGUCCUGUUCCAAAAGAGUCAAUUUGCUUUUAUUGCCAAGAGAAGGGGCAUUGGAGACGAAGCUGCCCCAUUUACCUAAGAGAUCUAAGAGAUGGGAGAGUCGAAACGUAUGGCUCUAAUAUAGGUAAAAUCCAUUAACUAACUCUUUUAAGCUUCUAUUCUAGAUUCUUAAUACAUAAUGUGAUAAGAUUACAAUUGAUGUUUUGUAGGAUCGAAGAAAAGAAAGGAAGCUUAAGGGAAGAAGUGAGCAGAAUCUAACCGUGAAGGAAUGGAUUUCGAUCGCAUUUCUCGAAGAUUAGAUUCUUGAGCUACUACUUAGAGUUAGAAUUAGAUUGCUAAGAAAGAUGUAUUAGCAUAAGUUUUUCAAUGAAUUGCAUUGUAAGGACAAAUUUUUCCGCAAUAAAAUAAAUUUUGAUUUUAAAUUUUAUUUAUUUAUCCUUACAAUGGCGUGUAUGAAAAAUUGAUGUUAAAAUGUUUCUAUUAUUAGCAAUAAUGGAUUUGGUUCUUAUUAUGUUAUUUAUGGAAAGUCGAGAAUUUACCAAAUAGGGAGAGUUUCUCAUCGCCCAAGUUUCAAUUGGACAGAAACUUGGAAUCAUGCAACUUGGUUGCACGAUGAAUGAGAAAUUUCAUAUUUGGAAAUUAGACUAAUUCAUUGACAAAGUGUCAAGUGAAGGACUAGGAGAUCGAGUACACAAAGUUGCGUGUUGAUCAAGUCCACCAUAAGAGUAACAAAGAUAUUCGUCAUGAUUUACUAAAGGUUUAGUAAAUAUGAUUAUACUUAUAAGAUUAAGUGUAAUUCUGAAUUGAUUGAAAAGGUUUAAAUCAAUAGCAGAACGAAUAAGAAGAAUCAAGUAGGCAGAAAGAUAAAAGUUUCUCCAUUCUAAGAAGAAGGGAGAGUACCUUUUAUGCUUUAUGAUAGGUCUUAAUGAUUAAGAACCAUAUCUCAAUUGAUCCUCUAAGUGAGUCUUAGUACAAUUGUAUGUCUAAGAAGAGGAAUCAAGAAUUGAAGAAAUGGUUAAAUCAAUAAGUCAAUCAUACUUCGUUCCAAUAACAAGUCUUAAAGUUAAGAUUGUGACAUUGAGUGAAAGGUAUUAAGAAGGUUUAUAACUUUCAUCAAAUGUGGAAAGUUGUGAUGUCUUGGAUAAGACAAAGACCAACUAGGACCAAUUUAUGAAGUGUUUUGAUAAAAGCUACACUAACUCUUGAAUAUUUGUUUGUCAAGAAAUGGUUAUUGACAAGAGAAUCUUAUAUGUCAAGGAGUCAGUGGGAGUCUUAAUGGUCUUGAAAGGUUUCAAGAACAAAUCAAAUAAACCUUAUCGAUCAUCACUAGCACACGAGUUGAGGUUUACA
rnacentral:lncRNA from 1 species